CCUACGGGAGGCAGCAGUGAGGAAUAUUGGUCAAUGGACGAGAGUCUGAACCAGCCAAGCCGCGUGAAGGAAGACUGCCCUAUGGGUUGUAAACUUCUUUUAUAAAGGAAUAAACCUAGGCACGUGUACCUUUUUGCAUGUACUUUAUGAAUAAGGAUCGGCUAACUCCGUGCCAGCAGCCGCGGUAAUACGGAGGAUCCGAGCGUUAUCCGGAUUUAUUGGGUUUAAAGGGUGCGUAGGUGGGUUGUUAAGUCAGUUGUGAAAGUUUGGGGCUCAACCGUAAAAUUGCAAUUGAUACUGGCAGUCUUGAGUAUAGGUGAGGUAGGCGGAAUGCGUGGUGUAGCGGUGAAAUGCUUAGAUAUCACGAAGAACCCCGAUUGCGAAGGCAGCUUACUAAACUGUGACUGACAUUGAGGCUCGAAAGUGUGGGGAGCAAACAGGAUUAGAUACCCGUGUAGUC
rnacentral:rRNA from 1 species